rnacentral:rRNA from 1 species
AUGGCCAGGUUGACGGUGGCGGAUCUGGCGGGCUGCAUAGGGUCCCUCUUCUGCCCAUUUCUGUGCUUGCUUCGAUUUUGUGCGGUUGUAAGGAGUAGUGAUGGUGGGGAUUCAUUACUGAGUGUUUUGUUGGUCAUGGCCGAGUGGUGCUUGGGACUUUUGCGGUUUGAGGAUGUUGAUCGGUUUUGGGUUGUAAAGCGGACUAAACAUGCAGCAGCAGCAGGGCGAGCUGAAUCAUCUACUAUGGCAGCAGUUGGUGGAGGAGCUGCCUCAUCCUCCGCAGCGGAUGCUGAGGCCAGCGGUGAAGGAGUUGAGGUGGCUUCCCGGGAAGAUGUGGAGCGACCAUCACAAGCUGGCAGGAUAAGGGCAUCACCAGGGCGGUUUGCGAAGUUCAACAGCUCGCUAUCCCCGCCGCAGAAGUUUGAGCUAGUUUCAAGGUUGUUUGGGGGCCUCUUGAACUUAUCAGAUACACUUCCAGGGGACUUCAGUAAAUUCCUGGUGAAGUCCUACCAGCCAGAGACCUCUGAAAUGGUGUUCCCAGACAGGGGAAGGAUCCGUGUCGAUGCUGACAGUGUUCAAAGGGUAUUUGAUCUUCCUAACAGGGGUCAAAAAGUCAGAUAUGUAGUUGACAAGGAUGCAACUAGGAGAUUCAGAGAGACUUUCAACAUACGUGGAGAUUCUCAUCCCCAGAUCACUACAUGGUGCAAGAUGAUUAAGGAUAUGGUGAAGCAAAUUGUUUGUUGCUGCUUGUAUCACUUGAUGAUCAUGUACCUUGACGCGCUCGUUCAUGACAUCUCAGUAAGCAACUGCACGAUACGAGCGAAUGCAUGGGACAGUAACCUAAUUGCCAAGGUGAUCAAGAAGGACUCGAUCUCUCCUGGUGUGUUUGGCAAAUUACAACUUAAAGAGGAGUAUAGGGGCACGGAGCAAACACCACGGUUUGCUGGUCUUUUGCAAGCUCAAGCAUUCGUUGCAUCCAAAUUACCACUAACGUACAACCCGCGGAAAAAGGCAAAGAUUGCCAAAGUGGUCAAUGACUUGUGCAAGGUAGUAACUGAACAGGUUGGCACCUUCAUCGAAGCAGUUGCCAAGAUUGAUGAUGAGGAACUGGAUAUUGAUCCAUAUGUACAGCAGACAUCAAUGAGAACCGCUUCAUCACACCGUGCUCCAAAAAGGAAGAGGCGGGAGGAGGAGGAGGAGGAGGAGGAAGAGGAGGAGGAGGACAAAGAAGAAGAAGAGGAGGAGGAGGACAAAGAAAAAGAGGACAAAAGAGAGGAGGAGGACAAGAAAGAAGAUACAAUUGAUGGCAGUGAGGGGAAAGGAGAUGAUGAGGAAGAAGACGAGGAUGCUGACCCUGAUGAUCAAGGGGGAUCAAAUGGAGGCAGUGACAGCUCCGAUGAUGAUGAUGACAAUGGCCCUAGUUCUGGCGGUACAGGCGGCAACACAACCAGGGUGAGUAGCAGCUCUGUCAACCCUGCCAGCAGCAGCAACUCAAUGAGCAACAGGAGCACACUACAGAUGUUGAUUGACAAAACUUGCUGGAAAGACAAGAAUUUGCCAAAGUCAAAGAAAAAUGAUGAAGUGGAGUCUCAGAUCAAGGGGAAGAUUCCUCUAUCAACAGCCCCACCUAAACCAGCUAAGCAGCAAAAAUUUGUCAAGUUUGCCAAGAGCACAAAGGAGGGACAGGGCAGAAAAGGUGUGGAGUCCAGACACGAGACAGAACAACAUGCCACAACCAUCGAUACAGGACUGCCAAGUUCUGCUAGUUUGGUGCCAACUCAGGCUGCAAAGAUGCCAACUGCAGAUACUAGUGUACCAACUGAAGUGUCAAUUAGCACGCGGGUCACAGUCAAAACUACCACUGUUGCUCAGGAAGACUCAACUGCAACCGCAAGCCCCAAGGUGACAACUCAUAGAGAUUCUUCAAUGCUAAACAUGGAAGGAGGUCAUCAAUCUGCCAAACUGCCGUCUCCAAGAGCUAUCACAGAGCAUCCAAGCAAGCCUGCAUCACCAAGAGCUGAUUUUCAGCACACAUUAAUACAAGAGGAGGUGUUCAACAUUGUAAGCAGGUGCAAGCCUCCCAGGCCGCCAACCACAACAUUACUGCGAACCAUGUCAACGAACGAUGCACCUGUGAAUGCGCCGCAAGGAGAUGCCCCUGGCCUUCAACCCAUACGCAGAUCAAAUUCUUACAGCUAUCAUGGUGAUGGGUACUGCGAUGCACCAACCUUUGACCUGGGCAUAGAUGAUGAUGCUGGGCCUGCUGGAGCACUUGCUCCAGCAGCACAAACAGGGGAAGCCAACAUGGUUGUCAUAGAUGAGGAUGAGUUGGACCCAGCAAUUGUGAACGAAGGAUGCGUUGUUGCUGAUGCUUGCAAGGGAUUAGCUCACCAGCCAGAUGUUGGAUCACCAGACAGCUGCCACACCCCGAUAUGCGGAGAACCAGCAGUUGGCACGACCAAUUCGUCAGAACCACCUGUUACACGAAGAUAG